ACCAUGGUGGUAACGGGUAACGGGGUGUUAGGGCACGACACCGGAGAGGGAGCCUGAGAAACGGCUACCACAUCCAAGGAUGGCAGCAGGCGCGCAAAUUACCCAAUCCCGACACGGGGAGGUAGUGACAAUAAAUAACAAUACGGGGUUCUUUCGGAUCUCGUAAUUGGAAUGAGUACAAUUUAAAUCUCUUAACGAGGAACAAUUGGAGGGCAAGUCUGGUGCCAGCAGCCGCGGUAAUUCCAGCUCCAAUAGCGUAUAUUAAAGUUGUUGCAGUUAAAAAGCUCGUAGUUGAAUUUCGGGGUUAGUAGGUUGGUCAUGCCUCUGGUAUGUACUGAUCUCACUGAUUCCUCCUUCCUGAUGAACCGUAAUGCCAUUAAUUUGGUGUUGCGGGGAAUUUGGACUGUUACUUUGAAAAAAUUAGAGUGUUUAAAGCAAGCUAACGCUUGAAUACAUUAGCAUGGAAUAAUGAAAUAGGACGUUCGAUCCUAUUUUGUUGGUUUCUAGGAUUGACGUAAUGAUUAAUAGGGAUAGUUGGGGGCAUUAGUAUUCAAUUGUCAGAGGUGAAAUUCUUGGAUUUAUUGAAGACUAACUACUGCGAAAGCAUUUGCCAAGGAUGUUUUCAUUAAUCAAGAACGAAAGUUAGGGGAUCGAAGACGAUCAGAUACCGUCGUAGUCUUAACCAUAAACUAUGCCGACUAGGGAUCGGAUGAUG
rnacentral:rRNA from 1 species